rnacentral:rRNA from 1 species
UACGGGGGGGGCAAGCGUUGUUCGGAAUUACUGGGCGUAAAGGGCUCGUAGGCGGCCAACUAAGUCGGACGUGAAAUCCCUCGGCUUAACCGGGGAACUGACGUCCGAUACUGGAUGGCUUGAGUUCGGGAGAGGGAUGCGGAAUUCCAGGUGUAGCGGUGAAAUGCGUAGAUAUCUGGAGGAACACCGGUGGCGAAGGCGGCAUCCUGGACCGACACUGACGCUGAGGAGCGAAGCCAGGGGAGCAAACGGG